rnacentral:rRNA from 1 species
AUUGAACGCUGGCGGCAGGCCUAACACAUGCAAGUCGAACGAGUGGCGGACGGGUGAGUAAUGUCUGGGAAACUGCCCGAUGGAGGGGGACAACUAUUGGAAACGGUAGCUAAUACCGCAUACCAUCGGAUGUGCUCAGAUGGGAUUAGCUAGUAGGUGGGGUAAUGGCUCACCUAGGCGACGAUCCCUAGCUGGUCUGAGAUGAGGACCAGCCAGCCGGGAACUGAGGCACGGUCCAUAGUCCUACGAGGGGCAGCAGUGUGGAAUAUUGCACAAUGGGUGUAUGCCUGAGGCAUCCAUGCCGCGUGUAUGAAGAAGGCCUUCGGUUUGUAAAGUUCUUUCAGCGAGGAGGCGUUACUCGCAGGAGAAGCACCUGCUAACUCCGUGCCAGCAGCCGCGGUAAUUC